UGUAGGGGACCCUCAUAGCUGCGGCGGCUGUGACCCCAUGAUGCAGGAACCAGGAGAACCAAGUGCAGCCUCCUUUCACCAAGAAGAUGUUGAUCAACGGCGCUACAGGACGAGGACACGAGACUUUCGUCACGAUGGAAAAAGACAAACAAACAAGGCAGAUGAGAUAAAAUGAUGGAAAUAUGUACAAUGUCUUAUCACAGAUGCUAAUUGUUUUUGUGUGGGAGGGAGGAUGGCGGCGGAGGGGUGCACACGAGGGAGGGGAAGAGGAACUUGAGAAUAUCCUGCAUGUGCCUUUGGCCUGCGCCUGACUUCAGAGCUAAGCCCUCUCUCAAGAGAGGGUCAACACCAGGUUCAACUUUUCACCUCGGCAGCACUAGAGAAGACACUAAAUACCAAGGAUUACAACACAGCGCACAGCAAUAUUGUCUGGCCUUCCACUGUGUCUGACAACUUUAGACUCAGAACUUUUAAAACAUUUGUCUAUUCAUAGCAAAUACAAUGAGAACAAUA